CCCCCGCAUGGGGGAGGCGGGAAAGCGUACACGGCGGGGGAUGGGCCCGCGGCCUGUUAGCUCGUUGGCGGGGUAACGGCCCACCAAGGCGAUUAUGGGUAGCCGGGUUGAGAGACCGACCGGCCAGAUUGGGACUGAGACACGGCCCAGACUCCUACGGGAGGCAGCAGUGGGGAAUCUUGCACAAUGGAGGAAAGCCUGAUGCAGCGACGCCGCGUGCGGGAGGAAGAAGGUCGGGUUGUAAACCGCUUUCAG
rnacentral:rRNA from 1 species